AUAAUACACACACACUAACAGCAGAUCGUCUCUCAGUGAGAAGCAGUUCAUUCUUUAAGGUAUUCUUAAUCUCACAGUGUUUCAACACAGAGCAGUGAUGAAGCUGGUAUUAUUGCUUGUGUUGACAAUUGUUAUGCACGAAUCCUCAGCCUGGCUAUUUCAUAGACGACCAAAAGUUCCACGCCUCCCUAUAUCACGCAAUCCUAUCAGAAUACAUUUGUUAAAAGCUAUAGGUAGAGAUGUCGCCAGAGACGUAUACAACAACGAGGCUGAGUUUUUAGCUGACUCGACGUUCUGAGAACAGCUCGCUUAACGUCGCGCGGACCUCUUUAAUAAACAUGAUAUCCGUCUGCUUGGCGUAUUAGUACAAAACGACACACCAGACGAAGACCACGACUGUGACAGAUUUAAAAUAAACCUCGUUAAGCCUC